rnacentral:rRNA from 1 species
UGGGGAAUUUUGGACAAUGGGCGCAAGCCUGAUCCAGCCAUGCCGCGUGCGGGAAGAAGGCCUUCGGGUUGUAAACCGCUUUUGUCAGGGAAGAAAUCUUCUGAGUUAAUACCUCGGGAGGAUGACGGUACCUGAGGAAUAAGCACCGGCUAACUACGUGCCAGCAGCCGCGGUAAUACGUAGGGUGCAAGCGUUAAUCGGAAUUACUGGGCGUAAAGCGUGCGCAGGCGGUUUUGUAAGACAGAGGUGAAAUCCCCGGGCUCAACCUGGGAACUGCCUUUGUGACUGCAAGGCUUGAGUGCGGCAGAGGGGGAUGGAAUUCCGCGUGUAGCAGUGAAAUGCGUAGAUAUGCGGAGGAACACCGAUGGCGAAGGCAAUCCCCUGGGCCUGCACUGACGCUCAUGCACGAAAGCGUGGGAGCAAACAGGAUUAGAUACCCUGGUAGUCCACGCCCUAAACGAUGUCAACUGGUUGUUGGGAAGGUUCCUUCUCAGUAACGUAGCUAACGCGUGAAGUUGACCGCCUGGGGAGUACGGCCGCAAGGUUGAAACUCAAAUGAAUUGACGGGGUCAUAGCUGUUUCC